rnacentral:rRNA from 1 species
GACGAACGCUGGCGGCGUGCUUAACACAUGCAAGUCGAACGGAAAGGCCCUGCUUUUGUGGGGUGCUCGAGUGGCGAACGGGUGAGUAACACGUGAGUAACCUGCCCUUGACUUUGGGAUAACUUCAGGAAACUGGGGCUAAUACCGGAUAGGAGCUCCUGCUGCAUGGUGGGGGUUGGAAAGUUUCGGCGGUUGGGGAUGGACUCGCGGCUUAUCAGCUUGUUGGUGGGGUAGUGGCUUACCAAGGCUUUGACGGGUAGCCGGCCUGAGAGGGUGACCGGCCACAUUGGGACUGAGAUACGGCCCAGACUCCUACGGGAGGCAGCAGUGGGGAAUAUUGCACAAUGGGCGGAAGCCUGAUGCAGCAACGCCGCGUGCGGGAUGACGGCCUUCGGGUUGUAAACCGCUUUCGCCUGUGACGAAGCGUGAGUGACGGUAAUGGGUAAAGAAGCACCGGCUAACUACGUGCCAGCAGCCGCGGUGAUACGUAGGGUGCGAGCGUUGUCCGGAUUUAUUGGGCGUAAAGGGCUCGUAGGUGGUUGAUCGCGUCGGAAGUGUAAUCUUGGGGCUUAACCCUGAGCGUGCUUUCGAUACGGGUUGACUUGAGGAAGGUAGGGGAGAAUGGAAUUCCUGGUGGAGCGGUGGAAUGCGCAGAUAUCAGGAGGAACACCAGUGGCGAAGGCGGUUCUCUGGGCCUUUCCUGACGCUGAGGAACGAAAGCGUGGGGAGCGAACAGGCUUAGAUACCCUGGUAGUCCACGCUGUAAACGGUGGGUACUAGGUGUGGGGUCCAUUCCACGGGUUCCGUGCCGUAGCUAACGCUUUAAGUACCCCGCCUGGGGAGUACGGCCGCAAGGCUAAAACUCAAAGGAAUUGACGGGGCCCCGCACAAGCGGCGGAGCAUGCGGAUUAAUUCGAUGCAACGCGUAGAACCUUACCUGGGUUUGACAUGGAUCGGGAGCGCUCAGAGAUGGGUGUGCCUCUUUUGGGGUCGGUUCACAGGUGGUGCAUGGCUGUCGUCAGCUCGUGUCGUGAGAUGCUGGGUUAAGUCCCGCAACGAGCGCAACCCUUGUUCACUGUUGCCAGCACGUUAUGGUGGGGACUCAGUGGAGACCGCCGGGGUCAACUCGGAGGAAGGUGGGGAUGACGUCAAGUCAUCAUGCCCCUUAUGUCCAGGGCUUCACGCAUGCUACAAUGGCUGGUACAGAGAGUGGCGAGCCUGUGAGGGUGAGCGAAUCUCGGAAAGCCGGUCUCAGUUCGGAUUGGGGUCUGCAACUCGACCUCAUGAAGUCGGAGUCGCUAGUAAUCGCAGAUCAGCAACGCUGCGGUGAAUACGUUCCCGGG